CUGGUCUUGACAUCCGGACGCCGUAUGGGCAAUGCCAUACUUCCUUCGGGACGUCCGAGACAGGUGGUGCAUGGUUGUCGUCAGCUCGUGUCGUGAGAUGUUGGGUUAAGUCCCGCAACGAGCGCAACCCCUAUUUCCAGUAGCCAGCAGGUGAGGCUGGGCACUCUGGAGAGACUGCCCGGGACAACCGGGAGGAAGGCGGGGAUGACGUCAAAUCAUCAUGCCCCUUAUGAUCAGGGCUACACACGUGCUACAAUGGCGUAAACAAAGGGAAGCGAAGCGGUGACGCCUGGCAAAUCCCAGAAAUAACGUCCCAGUUCGGAUUGUAGUCUGCAACCCGACUACAUGAAGCUGGAAUCGCUAGUAAUCGCGAAUCAGAAUGUCGCGGUGAAUACGUUCCC
rnacentral:rRNA from 1 species